rnacentral:pre_miRNA from 1 species
UUAUUACUCCCUCUGUCCGGAAAUACAUGUUGGAGAAAUGGAUGUAUCUAGAUGUAUUUUAGUUUUGGAUACAUCCAUUUUAUCCGUUUCUCCGACAAGUAUUUUCGGACGGAGGGAGUACUUU